rnacentral:rRNA from 1 species
UACGAAGGGGGCUAGCGUUGCUCGGAAUCACUGGGCGUAAAGCGCACGUAGGCGGAUCUUUAAGUCAGGGGUGAAAUCCUGGAGCUCAACUCCAGAACUGCCUUUGAUACUGGGGAUCUCGAGUCCGGAAGAGGUGAGUGGAACUCCGAGUGUAGAGGUGAAAUUCGUAGAUAUUCGGAAGAACACCAGUGGCGAAGGCGGCUCACUGGCCCGUUACCGACGCUCAGGCGCGAAAGCGUGGGGAGCAAACAGG